AUUGAACGCUGGCGGCAGGCUUAAUACAUGCAAGUCGAACGGUAACAGCAGAAAAGCUUGCUUUUUUGGCUGACGAGUGGCGGACGGGUGAGUAAUACCUAGGAAACUGCCUAAACGAGGGGGAUAACAUUUGGAAACGAGUGCUAAUACCGCAUAAUACUGAGAAGUCAAAGGUUGGUUUACCAAUCGCGUUUAGAUGUGCCUAGGAGGGAUUAGCUAGUUGGUGGGGUAAAGGCCUACCAAGGCGAUGAUCUCUAGCUGGUCUGAGAGGAUGACCAGCCACACUGGAACUGAGACACGGUCCAGACUCCUACGGGAGGCAGCAGUAGGGAAUAUUGCACAAUGGGGGGAACCCUGAUGCAGCCAUGCCGCGUGUGUGAAGAAGGCC
rnacentral:rRNA from 1 species